rnacentral:lncRNA from 1 species
AGAAUAUAAGCGUUGUGGAGUCAGGAAAACUUCCAACCAGAUUUCAGAAGGCCUGGGAGGCCAGGCAGUGUGUGAAGCUGUGAGUGUGAAGCCAAAGGUGCAGUGGAGACUCCAGUAUGUAGGAGAAGCCAAGAACAUGAAAUAUCUGAGGAAAGCUGCAGGGAGUGAGCAUAACCAGCCAAGGAGAGCAACCAUGAUGGCUGCAGUGCUAUAGGGGAAGGGCCCCUCAAACUAUUUGGAGUUCACAUUUCACUGCCACAACUUGCCCUGUGUGGUGUACAUGGAACCUUGUGCAGGGCUUUGGUCUUGAUUUUGUCCCUUUGGUUUCUACUCCACUUUUGGAGUAGGAAUAUUUACCCUGGGUCUUUGUGUGUCCUCAAUGUCUAACUACAUUUUGAUAUUUACAGGGGUUCACAAGUAAAAGUUUGCCUUAAGUCUCAGAGGAGACUUUGGACUUGGACUUUUCAGCAGUCCUGGAGCAGCAAGUCAGAAAGUAUAAGUCAGAGUGAAUCUUGGUCAGUGUGUUCUUGCUGCUGUGGCACCAUCUGCACGAGUCCUCACCAGAGCCAAGAAGCCAGCAUUCUCACAGCACUUUCAUUACAAAGGGUAACAAAGAAAUCUCCUACAUAACUGCAAUGCCAUCAUCACACCUGGAGAAUUUAACAACGCUGUGGCCAAGAGCCUGGGGUAGGAUUUUUGUAGGUGAGAUCUCUAGAGAAAGGAAGGCACUGUACGGUAGAUAUUAGUUUAAAGGCAGAAGCUGAGUGUGAUGGUGCUCCCAUGUAAUCCCAGCACUAGAGAGGCUGAGGUAGGAGGAUCAAUUUGAGUUCGAGGCCAGCCUGAACUAUGUAGUAAACUCAAGGCCAACCUGAACUACAUAGUGAGACCCUGUCUUGGAAAAAAAAUUAAAGGCAUGCAAUAGUAAGAAAGAGUAGCUGUGUCUGUAUUGUUUAUUUUUGUUCUUUGCUGGCCCAGCCAGCGAAUGUGUGGUUUGUUAUACCUAAGUUAUGGCUAUAUAAACAUAUCUCAGUUUGUGCCUGGGCUACACAGUGGGUCUAUGUCUUUAAUGUCUCUAGGGAACCUGAUACCCAAGCUUUAAA